rnacentral:rRNA from 1 species
UACGUAGGGUGCGAGCGUUGUCCGGAAUUAUUGGGCGUAAAGAGCUCGUAGGUGGCGGGUCACGUCGGGUGUGAAAGCCCGGGGCUUAACUCCGGGUCUGCAUUCGAUACGGGUCUGCUGGGGUCCGGCAGGGGAGACUGGAAUUCCUGGUGUAGCGGUGAAAUGCGCAGAUAUCAGGAGGAACACCGGUGGCGAAGGCGGGUCUCUGGGCCGGUACCGACGCUGAGACGCGAAAGCGUGGGGAGCAAACAGG